UACGUAGGGGCAAGCGUUGUCCGGAAUCAUUGGGCGUAAAGAGCUGUAGGCGGUUUGUCGCGUCUGCUGUGAAAUCCGGGCUCACCCGGACUGCAGUGGUACGGGCAGACUUGAGUUCGGCAGGGGAGACGUGGAAUUCCUGGUGUAGCGGUGAAAUGCGCAGAUAUCAGGAGGAACACCGGUGGCGAAGGCGGGUCUCUGGGCCGAUACUGACGCUGGAGG
rnacentral:rRNA from 1 species